rnacentral:tRNA from 1 species
UCCCUGAUAGCUCAGCCGGUAGAGCAAGUGACUGUUAAUCACUGGGUCGUAGGUUCGAGUCCUACUCAGGGAGCCA